UUGAUAAAUUGUAUUUAAAUCAAUAAUGUUGCUCGAUUGAAUCGAUUAUGAAUAUUUAAUGUUAUUUGCUAUUUGCAAUUUGUUAUUCGAUGUCCUUCGCUUAAAUUUAUUCACCAGAUGUAUGAAAAAUUCCGCUAAUUCUUUAUCAAAUGAUAAACACACAUGAGCACACAACUAUUAAUGUUUCCAUCAUUUUAUUUUUAUUUUUUAUUUCUUUAUUUCUUUAUUUCUUGGGCAAUAUAUAAGUAACUACGCGACGGGUGACUUUUUUUUAGAGCAGUGUCAUUAAAAUCCGUGAAUUUAAUUUUUGUUUUCAACUUUUGAAUUAUGUCACUCGUGUAAUUAUUGCACUGUGCGCACGUGUUGGGUAAAUGCUGCCGGAUUGACCUUGCGAGAGAGGGAGCAUUAAACUAAGAUAAAGCAAAAAUAAAUCAUUAUCUCGAACCUUACAAACUUCUUUGUUUGAAGUUACAACAAUAUCCGUGUCUAAGCAUUAACAGAGAUGCCAACAUUCUUUAUAAAACAAUAAAUUAAUAUAAUUAACAGUAUUACAGUUUAUUCAACUCAAAAAUUACACAUUAA